UGGGGAAUAUUGCACAAUGGGCGCAAGCCUGAUGCAGCCAUGCCGCGUGUGUGAAGAAGGCCUUCGGGUUGUAAAGCACUUUCAGCGAGGAGGAAGGUGGUGAGCUUAAUACGCUCAUCAAUUGACGUUACUCGCAGAAGAAGCACCGGCUAACUCCGUGCCAGCAGCCGCGGUAAUACGGAGGGUGCAAGCGUUAAUCGGAAUUACUGGGCGUAAAGCGCACGCAGGCGGUUUGUUAAGUCAGAUGUGAAAUCCCCGGGCUCAACCUGGGAACUGCAUUUGAAACUGGCAAGCUAGAGUCUCGUAGAGGGGGGUAGAAUUCCAGGUGUAGCGGUGAAAUGCGUAGAGAUCUGGAGGAAUACCGGUGGCGAAGGCGGCCCCCUGGACGAAGACUGACGCUCAGGUGCGAAAGCGUGGGGCAGCAAACAGGAUUAGAUACCCUGGUAGUCCACGCUGUAAAACGAUGUCGAUUUUGGAGGUUGUGCCCCUUGAGGCGUGGCUUCCGGAGCUAACGCGUUAAA
rnacentral:rRNA from 1 species